UACUCGAACUUGCAUGGUGGGAAUGACUUAACUAAGUGCAAUGGAACCAACAUCAUAUCAUUGUGAGGCUUCAUUCUCUAGAGGCCAAAUAAGAUGGGUACUUGCAAGAGAUGCAAAUGAGUAAGCGUACUCUCUCAUUAUUAUUGAUGCUAGCCAACAUCAUAUCAUUGUGAGGUGGGCUUGGUAAUAGUGAGUCUCCCAUACCCUACUAAGAGUUUCCUCCAAAACUCUCGAAUUCCGAUGAGGGAUAUGAAAUUUGCCAAAAAUAGUGGGUGGUGCUAUUUGAUUUAAAGACCCGGAUCAAAUGGCUUAAAUCAAUCAAUUUAUAUUCGUUAUGUAUUUAUUUACCGAUAUAUUUGUAAACACUAUCCAAAACUUGACAAAGAAAAAACCGAAAGCUUUAGUUUCCAGACUUGGUACUACAAUCCCAUAGAUUGUCUUUAAUGGCUUGUAUAUGUACCUAAGUAGUCUCAUCCUCACAAUCUUCCUAUUGAUAAUGUAUCAUCGGAAUAACAUGUUAGAUAAGUCUAUCAUAAAGAGGACAACACUUUUAAUGUCAUAAUUCUUCAAUUGCAAAUUGUUGUAUGAAGAAAUAAGAGUUGCUUUGAACAACUCUUAGUUAACGCAAACAUUAGUGUUUGUUUCUUUGUUACAUGAACAAGGAACUUGAGAAGUAAGCACAAGGGCAUGUACACUUUAUGUGCCAUGAUUCUUCACUUACAAAUUGUUGUAUGAAGAAAUGAGAGUUGCCUUGAACAACUCUUGAAAGUUUGUAAUUAUGUUUAUAACAUAAUGGUUGGUUGACAAAAAUAGUCCAUCAACAUGGACUUAUGAUGAUUUUUGAAUCAUUGAGUGUUGAAGUGUUAAACCACUUCACGAGACAGAAACUAGGCAAGGACUUCA
rnacentral:lncRNA from 1 species